CCUACGGGAGGCAGCAGUGGGGAAUUUUGGACAAUGGGCGCAAGCCUGAUCCAGCAAUGCCGCGUGCAGGAUGAAGGCCUUCGGGUUGUAAACUGCUUUUGUACGGAACGAAACGGUGAGCUCUAAUACAGUUUGCUAAUGACGGUACCGUAAGAAUAAGCACCGGCUAACUACGUGCCAGCAGCCGCGGUAAUACGUAGGGUGCGAGCGUUAAUCGGAAUUACUGGGCGUAAAGCGUGCGCAGGCGGUGAUGUAAGACAGAUGUGAAAUCCCCGGGCUCAACCUGGGACCUGCAUUUGUGACUGCAUCGCUAGAGUACGGUAGAGGGGGAUGGAAUUCCGCGUGUAGCAGUGAAAUGCGUAGAUAUGCGGAGGAACACCGAUGGCGAAGGCAAUCCCCUGGACCUGUACUGACGCUCAUGCACGAAAGCGUGGGGAGCAAACAGGAUUAGAUACCCUGGUAGUCCACGCCCUAAACGAUGUCAACUGGUUNUUGGGUCUUCACUGACUCAGUAACGAAGCUAACGCGUGAAGUUGACCGCCUGGGGAGUACGGCCGCAAGGUUGAAACUCAAAUGAAUUGACGGCUUGAGACGNGCGAGGACGACGACGAGGGAGGAGG
rnacentral:rRNA from 1 species